AGCGAACGCUGGCGGCAGGCCUAACACAUGCAAGUCGAACGGAUCCUUCGGGAUUAGUGGCGGACGGGUGAGUAACACGUGGGAACGUGCCCUUUGGUUCGGAACAACUCAGUGAAACUUGAGCUAAUACCGGAUGUGCCCUUCUGGUGAAAGAUUUAUCGCCAUUGGAGCGGCCCGCGUCUGAUUAGCUAGUUGGUGAGGUAACGGCCCACCAAGGCGACGAUCAGUAGCUGGUCUGAGAGGAUGAUCAGCCACACUGGGACUGAGACACGGCCCAGACUCCUACGGGAGGCAGCAGUGGGGAAUCUUGCGCAAUGGGCGAAAGCCUGAAGCAGCCAUGCCGGGUGAAUGAUGAAGGUCUUAGGAUUGUAAAAUUCUUUCAGCGGGGACGAUAAUGACGGUACCCGAAGAAGAAGCUCCGGCUAACUUCGUG
rnacentral:rRNA from 1 species